GUCAAUUUCAAAUAAAACUGGCAUUAGAAAGUGACCAAUUUUAGAAUUAUGAAAAGUUUUCUUUGGAAGCCAGUCAAACUGGAAACAGUUAAUGUCUAAAACCGUUCAUUAACGAGUAUCUAUCGGGUUUACAUUUCUGGCUCUAAUAAAAAUCUUGCAGCAGUAACUUACAGUUCGAAAAAUCUGCAGCCAGGGUAAAGUUUCCAAGUUUCCAAACUUUGUGGAGUUUUUAUUUAAACUUCUUCCUUAGCUAGACAUUGAAAAACUUUCUCAGCUAUUAACCACUGCCCUCGCAUAUACACCAAUCCCUUAAACGGAAUCACUUCGGUUGGAACAAUGAAUCAUCCCGACUAAAAGCUAAAAGCCAAAGAAAUAUUCACUGUUAUCCAGACCUGAAAAUCGGAACUGAUGGGCCCACUUGGCAGUCUUCACGUGAAGCGGACGUUCGGAAACAUAAUUCGACGGAAAAUCAAUCCAGAUUAGCGAAUAUGAACGAAAUUUUAAUAUCGGUUCGCACAUGCAGUCGAAAUCCCAUUAAAAACUUUUAAUAAUUUUAGGGAAUUUA